rnacentral:rRNA from 1 species
UACGGGGGGGGCAAGCGUUGUUCGGAAUUACUGGGCGUAAAGAGCUCGUAGGCGGUCUGUCACGUCGGCUGUGAAAUCCCGAGGCUCAACCUCGGGUCUGCAGUCGAUACGGGCAAACUAGAGUAUUGCAGGGGAGACUGGAAUUCCUGGUGUAGCGGUGAAAUGCGCAGAUAUCAGGAGGAACACCGGUGGCGAAGGCGGGUCUCUGGGCAAUAACUGACGCUGAGGAGCGAAAGCGUGGGGAGCGAACAGG